rnacentral:rRNA from 2 species
CUCUGGUAUUGAUUGGUGCUUGCAUCAUGAUUUACAUUUGAGUGAGUGGCGAACUGGUGAGUAACACGUGGGAAACCUGCCCAGAAGCGGGGGAUAACACCUGGAAACAGAUGCUAAUACCGCAUAACAACUUGGACCGCAUGGUCCGAGUUUGAAAGAUGGCUUCGGCUAUCACUUUUGGAUGGUCCCGCGGCGUAUUAGCUAGAUGGUGAGGUAACGGCUCACCAUGGCAAUGAUACGUAGCCGACCUGAGAGGGUAAUCGGCCACAUUGGGACUGAGACACGGCCCAAACUCCUACGGGAGGCAGCAGUAGGGAAUCUUCCACAAUGGACGAAAGUCUGAUGGAGCAACGCCGCGUGAGUGAAGAAGGGUUUCGGCUCGUAAAACUCUGUUGUUAAAGAAGAACAUAUCUGAGAGUAACUGUUCAGGUAUUGACGGUAUUUAACCAGAAAGCCACGGCUAACUACGUGCCAGCAGCCGCGGUAAUACGUAGGUGGCAAGCGUUGUCCGGAUUUAUUGGGCGUAAAGCGAGCGCAGGCGGUUUUUUAAGUCUGAUGUGAAAGCCUUCGGCUCAACCGAAGAAGUGCAUCGGAAACUGGGAAACUUGAGUGCAGAAGAGGACAGUGGAACUCCAUGUGUAGCGGUGAAAUGCGUAGAUAUAUGGAAGAACACCAGUGGCGAAGGCGGCUGUCUGGUCUGUAACUGACGCUGAGGCUCGAAAGUAUGGGUAGCAAACAGGAUUAGAUACCCUGGUAGUCCAUACCGUAAACGAUGAAUGCUAAGUGUUGGAGGGUUUCCGCCCUUCAGUGCUGCAGCUAACGCAUUAAGCAUUCCGCCUGGGGAGUACGGCCGCAAGGCUGAAACUCAAAGGAAUUGACGGGGGCCCGCACAAGCGGUGGAGCAUGUGGUUUAAUUCGAAGCUACGCGAAGAACCUUACCAGGUCUUGACAUACUAUGCAAAUCUAAGAGAUUAGACGUUCCC